GAUCCCAACAAGGUAUGCUGACACCUGAUUGGACGCCAGCGUGACUCUUUAACGCAUGUGAGCAGCUGGCAAGCCGACUUCUUUUCACAAACGGAUAGGUCAUCUGAGUAGUCGGUCCUCACCAGCUCCACAGUUCCUCUGUAUCUGAUAGUCAGGUGAACCAUGCCAUCAGUACCAUCUAGUUCUGAGUCAGCUGGGACUGGCCCCGUCUGCCCACAUGCUGCCAAAGUCCUCACAAAUGCUGCACAUGGAGAACCUGGCUUCAACAGAGAUGCUGUAUUGAACGGGAAGGCUGGGCACAAGUUAAGUGUGAAUGAAACCAAUGGUCACCAUGUGCAGAGUGUGACUGCUGAGCACAUUGAGAAUGGAUCCGAAGGCAGCAUGGAGAGGAAAUGGAUUCGGCCAGAUUUGCCCAGCAGAUGCACCUGGAAACUUGGUGACCCAAAUACAGAGUCGCCCCACAAGCACUUCCAAAGAACAAAGACACCCAAUAUCCUUCCCAACAUUUUAAGCAGGAUUGGAGAGACCCCACUGGUCCGCAUGAACAAGAUUCCUAAAGCUUCAGGCCUCAAGUGUGAGCUUUUGGCUAAAUGUGAGUUCUUCAACGCCGGUGGUAGCGUGAAGGACAGAAUCAGUCUGCGAAUGGUAGAGGAUGCGGAGAGAGACGGCAUCCUGAAACCUGGAGACACCAUCAUUGAGCCCACGUCAGGAAACACAGGGAUCGGUCUCGCUUUGGCAGCAGCAGUCAAAGGUUAUCGCUGCAUCAUAGUCAUGCCUGAGAAGAUGAGCAUGGAAAAGGUGGAUGUGCUCCGUGCUCUCGGUGCUGAGAUUGUUCGUACCCCUACCUCAGCCCGGUUUGACUCUCCUGAGUCUCACGUGGGGGUGGCUUGGCGUUUGAAGAACGAGAUUCCUAACGCUCAUAUUCUGGACCAGUACCGCAAUCCCAGCAACCCCCUUGCCCACUAUGACACCACUGCAGAGGAGAUUCUGGAGCAGUGUGAUGGUAAAAUAGACAUGCUGGUAGCCGGAGCUGGCACUGGUGGCACCAUCACGGGCAUCGCUCGCAAGCUGAAGGAGAAAUGCCCUAAUAUCAAGAUAGUUGGAGUGGACCCUGAGGGCUCUAUCCUUGCUGAGCCAGAGGAGCUGAAUAAGACUGAUAAGACCCAAUAUGAGGUUGAGGGCAUCGGAUAUGACUUCAUCCCCACUGUUCUGGACAGAUCUGUGGUGGAUAGUUGGUACAAGUCCAAUGAUGAAGAGUCCUUUACCAUGUCUCGUCUGCUCAUCAGAGAGGAGGGUCUUCUGUGUGGUGGUAGUUCAGGCACAGCCAUGGCUGCAGCAGUGCAUGCAGCCAAAGAGCUGGAGGAGGGCCAGCGCUGUGUGGUGAUUCUCCCCGACUCCAUCCGCAACUACAUGUCUAAAUUUCUUAGCGACAAGUGGAUGUGUGAAAAGGGCUUCCUGCGUGAGGAGGAUCUUGUAGUCAACAAGCCAUGGUGGUGGAAUCUGACUCUACAGGAGCUACGGCUCUCUGCCCCACUGACUGUGCUGCCUUUAGUGUCCAUUAAGAAGACCAUUCAGAUCCUGAAAGAGAAGGCUUUUGACCAAGCCCCAGUGGUGGACGAGGCCGGGCAGAUUCUGGGCAUGGUCACAUUGGGGAACAUGCUCUCGUCCGUUCUGGCUGGGAAGGUCAGGCCAUCCGAUCCUAUAAACAAAGUUCUCUACAAACAGUUUAAACAGGUGCGCCUAACUGAUAACCUGGGCAAACUCUCACGUAUCCUUGAGACGGACCAUUUCGCCCUUGUUGUGCAUGAACAGAUUCAGUACAUGAGCAAUGGAUCCCCAAAGAUGAGGCAGAUGGUGUUUGGGGUGGUGACAGCCAUUGACCUGCUGAACUACGUGGCCACUCGUGAGAGGAGGGAGCGCUCACUGUCCGAGUGCUCGCUGUCCGAAGAUCAGUGAACAACCAAGAGUUGAAGCUUUUCACAGUUUUUACCUUUAUUUCUCUGCAAGUGGUAUGCUCCACAUAUGCUUUUAUAAGAGCCAGUCAAUAUAGAUUUACAUGUAAAACAAAUUUCUCUCUGUUUACAGCAUGUUCUUCUUUUAUCUCUAAAGAAGAGAUAGCUGUUUUGUUAGCCAAUCAGCAUAGUGAAGUUAUAUCACAGAUCAGUCAAACACCAUUUGUAGUUUUGUUUACUUUGCAGAUUUGAUUUGAUGGUGUAUAUAUUUAAAAGAAUGUUAUUUUAUUCUUUUAAUAACUCUGCAUGCAGUUUGAUUUAGUUUAGUUUAUGUGCUGGAUUCAGGUGCUCUCUUGUUAAAGCUACAGCUUCAAUCACCACCUAGUGACUGCAAUAGAUUACGACAGGCAUAGAAACUUCGACUUUCAGGAUUCAUGCUCUGCUUUUUGGCACAAUUAUCUCUGGAACGUGUGAGGAGUUUUGCAGGUUGAUACUAAGUGUUUUUGCAGGUUGAUACUAAGUGUGUUUAGCAAAGCAAACUGCACCCGGACGAGAUGACUUGUGAUUUUUCUUGUAUUGUUGCAAGACCGGAUAUUGAGUGUAAAUAAAUAAUAGCAGUUUGGACUUGCUUUAAACACAUCACUCUGUGUUGAGCAAAUUUGAUUGUUUCAUUUUUCUAUGUUCUUUUCGUCUGACCUCUUGUAAAUCAAAACUUUAACUGAUAGAGAAUGAAUAAGAUUGUUUGUAUAUGAGUUAAUGUGAAGUAAAUGAAUGUGUGAGGGUGCAUUAGUUUGCACUCCUGAUCAUGGUUUCUGGAGUCUCUGGCUCAGAAUGUCUUUACUCAUUUGAUUUGCUUUUCCUUGAAUCUUUUUGCUUUAAUAAGUGAGAGUUACAAAUAAAGACUUCUUUUCCGGAAGGGA